rnacentral:misc_RNA from 1 species
UUUUUCAAAUUGGACCUGAUAUCAC